CCCUUAGAUGUUCUGGGCCGCACACGCGCUACACUGAAGGAGGCAGCGUGUACUCCUGGAUCGAAAGAUUUGGGUAACCCGCGAAUCUCCUUCGUGCUAGGGAUUGAGGUUUGCAAUUAUCCUUCAUGAACGAGGAAUUCCCAGUAAGUGCAAGUCAUAAGCUUGCGAUGACUACGUCCCUGCCCUUUGUACACACCGCCCGUCGCUACUACCGAUUGAAUGAUUUAGUGAGGACUUCGGACUGGGACCGAUGCGGCUUUCGGGCUGCGUCGGUAUUCUGGAAAGAUGUCCAAACUGUAUCAUUUAGAGGAAGUAAAAGUCGUAACA
rnacentral:rRNA from 1 species